GUGAAGACUCCACAUGGUGUGGAAGUGUUUCCUCUCUUCCUCUUGUCUUCUUUCCCAAUCAAUCAAUCUUGAAGUCAUCAAAUGGGGUCAAGACAGGAAGACAUCCAUGUUAGAGAGAGCCUGGUGUGGGAACCACAGCCCCAACAUACUGAUGGGAGCUUUGAGCUCCAUGUAUCCUUCAGUAUACUCGAUCCAUUCGCAGAUAAGUACCAAUGGCUGAAAGUGACAGACAUUCCAUUUCUUCUUUAACUGGCAAGAAGAACUUUGUCUCCAGCUAUCCAGCCAGAGAGGAGCUCAAUCAAAUGAUGUUGGCUAGAGUUAAUAUUUACGACAGUCUUCUUCCCAGUCUUGAAUAACCAAAGGUCAUAUGUCAUCUCUCUUCAGUUAAAUCAGCCACACCAAGUCUCCUACCUAGAAAUAAACAUGACUCAGAGACUAACCUUCUGGGAAUUUUUACAUUCUACAAGUGUGUCGUAAAUUAAAGGAAAUAUUGAAACCUUA